rnacentral:rRNA from 1 species
GACGAACGCUGGCGGCGUGCUUAACACAUGCAAGUCGAACGCAGUGGAGAACGGGUGAGUAACGCGUAAUCAACCUGCCCUUCAGAGGGGGAUAACCGUUGGAAACGCCUGCUAAUACCGCAUCCUGCAGGAGGGGCUUGCGUCUGAUUAGCUAGUUGGAGGGGUACCGGCCCACCAAGGCGAUGAUCAGUAGCCGGUCGGGGAGGAGGAACGGCCACAAUGGGACUGAGGCACGGCCCAGACUCCUACGGGAGGCAGCAGGGGGGAAUCUUCCGGAAUGGACGAAAGUCUGACGGAGCAACGCCGCGGGAGGGAUGACGGCCUUCGGGUUGGAAAGCUCUGUUAAUCGGGACGCGGUACCGGAAUAGAAAGCCACGGCUAACUACGUGCCAGCAGCCGCGGUAAUUC